GGAGGGGACAUCUCCGCGGCCUGUCACUUGGCCGCAGCCUUACCGCCGGCCCGCAGCCCCUGGCUCUGACUUGCGCUUCCGUGUCCUGAGACCCUCUUCCCGCACCCCACCUUCCGCUGCGCGCGAGCCUCUUCCGGCUUCCACACCGCUCCGGGCCUGUUUCCGCUCCUGGUAUGCUCCCCGGGAUCCUUUGGCCAGAGCUCCUGAGUUAGCUGAAGGAACUCUGGCGACCCGGAAGUCCCGCCCCUCCCCAUCAGACUCUUCAUGUCUGGAACUUUCACCUCAACUGCUGUAAGCUAGAGCAGGGAGCUCAGGUUUUUUUCCGUGGUUGACAUCUCCUUGGUUUAGGGUUCAGACAAGGGAAAGGAGGCCACCCAAAUACUUCGUACCCCAAUUGGCUGCAAAUGAAAAAAGGGAACGAUAAGACAAGAAGGCGAGAGAAAGUUAAAGAGCGCUGAGCCUUCUUGGAUUUAAGAGCUGCUGGGGGCAGUAUUUUAUCGUUUGUCAAAAAAUACUUAGCAGGUUUUGUGACACGACUAUGUCAUGUGCUCUUUAAAGACUCGAAGCAAAAUGUUUUUGUUUUUAAAAACGGAAGGAAAGGGGAGAAAAGAAAGAUGGGUGUCCAGAGGGGGUCAGUUUUGUCAGCUCUGUACCUUGCUUUGGAUGGCACUCUGGUGUUCAUAGACUUCUGCAGUUAUCAUACAUAAUGAUCAAAGAAAUAAAAACAUGUUUUCUGGUGGGAUGGAUAUAAUGUGGCAAAGCAGUAGGGCAGAAAUGGUGACCAGUUUAUAAUACAAAGGUGUGUUUAAUAAGGAAGAAUUAAUAAGCCUAGGUUAGCUGAACUGGUAGGAAGAAAUCGUUACUAGAAGUGUUUAAUUCUAGUAUUUUUCAAAAGGCAGAGAGUUUAUUCUAAAGCCAAAUAUAAGUGAGGUUUGGGUUAUCCCCAGUUCUUUGUUCCAAUAUGAAGGUGUUAGGGUAACAGACCAACAAAAAUUAUUUUCCAAAUACACUGAUGGGAAUGUGAAAGCAUGGGGUGAAAGGAACAAGGAGAUUUUAAGUCUCAGAUCUUAGGUCUCAGAAUCUGUAGCUCUCAAAUUAUAGUUGACCGCAUCCUUAGCAGUUCUACUGGUGGAAGCUAUUAGUUUGUCUGUUCCAAAAGACUUACCCAGGGACCAUUAAAUUGUUAGGUCACAGAGAGGUGGUAGCAAAUGACUAUUAAGCUAAUGAUGGUCCAAGAUAAAUUAUCAUGUGACCCUGGACCUGUCACAUUCCAGCCUCUACACAAACACUGAAGGCUUUAAUCAGGCAACUGGCCUUGCAGACUCGUCAGUGUUCCCUGUGGUUGUUUCCAGAGACUUUUGUCCCAGUUCUCCCUGUUGAACUUCCUCAGUCGAGAAGCCACACACUAAUUUUUAUUUGUUGCUAGGAAGGCUUAUUUCUAAAAUCUGAUGUAAAUGGGUUGAGUAAUAACCAGGAAAUCAGGCUUUAGGAGAAAGGAGUAUCUAGUAAAGCCACUAAGGCAAAACUCCAGGAUCCUAUUGCCAGAAUAUACCGGACAUUAUGAUUUAGAUCUUUUCAGUUUUUCUUUUGGCCAGCCUGAUUUUCUUUCUUAUGUAGUAAGCAGUAUACACUGUUAGAGUGUUAAACAGAAAAACCUCUUGACAAUAGUGACUUGACAGAAGUCAUUUGCCACUUUUCUCCUUGAUUGGAUGUGUUUAUUGUGUCCUGGGCAGCUGUCCAGUAUUGGAAGCCUUUGUUCUUCUUGUGUAACUGUUUGCUACUCUCUUUACUAAGUCGACUCCUAUGUAAUCUAGAUAUUAUACUACCCUGUCCUUUGUCAAUUUUCCAAGUAUUUCAUGAGUUGCCACUUCUCAAACAAUUUACCAGCAAGUUGAAAUGGAAUGGGUAAAAUGGAGAAAAAGUUAAAAAGAAUUUAAAAGCAUCUUAGGAAUUUGG
rnacentral:lncRNA from 1 species